GAUGAACGCUGGCGGCGUGCCUAAUACAUGCCAGUCGAGCGAACAGACGAGGAGCUUGCUCCUCUGACGUUAGCGGCGGACGGGUGAGUAACACGUGGAUAACCUACCUAUAAGACUGGGAUAACUUCGGGAAACCGGAGCUAAUACCGGAUAAUAUAUUGAACCGCAUUGUUCAAUAGUUAAAUACGGUUUUGCUGUCACUUAUAGAUGGAUCCGCGCCGCAUUAGCUACUUGGUAAGGUAACGGCUUACCAAGGCAACGAUGCGUAGCCGACCUGAGAGGGUGAUCGGCCAGACGGGAACUGAGAAACGGUCCAGACUCCUACGGGAGGCAGCAGUAGGGAAUCUUCCGCAAUGGGCGAAAGCCUGACGGAGCAACGCCGCGUGAGUGAUGAAGGUCUUCGGAUCGUAAAACUCUGUUAUUAGGGAAGAACAAAUGUGUAAGUAACUAUGCACGUCUUGACGGUACCUAAUCAGAAAGCCACGGCUAACUACGUG
rnacentral:rRNA from 1 species